GARUUUGAUCCUGGCUCAGAACGAACGCUGGCGGCGUGCUUAACACAUGCAAGUCGAACGUGAUCCGGAGCUUGCUCCGGUGAAAGUGGCGCACGGGUGAGUAACGCGUGGAUAAUCUGCCCUGGUAUCUGGGAUAACAUCUCGAAAGGGGUGCUAAUACCGGAUAAGCCUACGGUCUCUUYGGAGUCUGCAGGAAGAGGUGGCCUCUAUUUAUAAGCUACCGUAUCAGGAUGAGUCCGCGUACCAUUAGCUAGUUGGUGGGGUAAUGGCCCACCAAGGCUACGAUGGUUAGCUGGUYUGAGAGGAUGAUCAGCCACACUGGAACUGAGACACGGUCCAGACUCCUWCGGGAGGCAGCAGUGAGGAAUAUUGCGCAAUGGGGGAAACCCUGACGCAGCGACGCCGCGUGGGUGAAGAAGGCCUUCGGGUUGUAAAGCCCUGUCAGGUGGGAAGAAGUGUAUCAUGGCUAAUAUCCAUGGUAUUUGACGGUACCACCAAAGGAAGCACCGGCUAACUCCGUGCCAGCAGCCGCGGUAAUACAAGGGCGAAUWWKRCR
rnacentral:rRNA from 1 species